rnacentral:lncRNA from 1 species
CUGACUCUGAACCAGUUCUGUCUAGUUACUGGAAUGGGAUUAUCUGCUGUGUGUUUGUGUGUGUGUGAGAGAGAGAGAGAGAGAGAGAGAGAGACGGUGUGUGAUUUUGCCGUGCAUGUUUAAGUAUCCAUAUGUGCAUGUGUGAAAAAGUGGGAAAACGAGUUAGAGAGAGCGCGAGUGAAAUAUUUGUGUCUGUGUGUGUGUGUUUUCCCAGCAUCCUUUGUUGUCUGGCCUGACAAAUGUGGCUUAGCCCAGAAUCGCCUGUUUAAUCUUGCCGCCAUUUUGUUGUCUGCUGGUGUCUAUGGUUCUUCUCUAUCUCUCUCAUGGCAGUCAGAGCAGUGGGCUUAACUUUCCAGAACAGUUGCCAUAGCAACACCGACAGAGGUUUAUCAGUGGCUAUGGCGACGGAUGAUGCACUGAGAUGUGACCUGCCAUGGUUUUGGGAUGCGGAGGAAGACGCGUUUGGGAUGAAGCCACACCCUGAUGAUGAAAAUGGCAGAUUGCCGGGCUGCUGUUGCUCUCGGUCAUCGGCAGCGGGCCGAGCCGACGGGCUGCAGGGAUGACUCAGUCCUCUGUGGCUGGACUUUAAUAAAUGUCACAUCACAUCAAGCA